rnacentral:rRNA from 1 species
GGGCCCGCACAAGCGGUGGAGUAUGUGGUUUAAUUCGAUGCAACGCGAAGAACCUUACCAGGGUUUGACAUCCUGCGAACCUCUUAGAAAUUUGAGGGUGCCUUCGGGAAUGCAGUGACAGGUGGUGCAUGGCUGUCGUCAGCUCGUGUCGUGAGAUGUUGGGUUAAGUCCCGCAACGAGCGCAACCCACGUUUUUAGUUGCCCAGCAUUUAGUUGGGCACUCUAGAGAGACCGCCGGUGACAAACCGGAGGAAGGUGUGGAUGACGUCAAGUCAUCAUGCCCCUUACGUCCUGGGCCUACACACGUACUACAAUGCUACGGACAAAGAGCAGCAAGUUCGCGAGGACAAGCAAAUCUCAUAAACCGUGGCUCAGUUCAGAUCGUAGGCUGCAACUCGCCUACGUGAAGGAGGAAUCGCUAGUAAUCG